rnacentral:rRNA from 1 species
GAUGAACGCUGGCGGCGUGCUUAACACAUGCAAGUCGAACGAUGAAGCCCAGCUUGCCGGGUGGAUUAGUGGCGAACGGGUGAGUAACACGUGAGUAACCUGCCCUUAACUCUGGGAUAAGCCCGGGAAACUGGGUCUAAUACCGGAUAGGAGCGUCCACCGCAUGGUGGGUGUUGGAAAGAUUUAUCGGUUUUGGAUGGUCUCGCGGCCUAUCAGCUUGUUGGUGAGGUAUUGGCUCACCAAGGCGACGAGGGGUAGCCGGCCUGAGAGGGUGACCGGCCACCCUGGGACUGAGACACGGCCCAGACUCCUACGGGAGGCAGCAGUGGGGAAUAUUGCACAAUGGGCGCACGCCUGAUGCAGCGACGCCGCGUGCGGGAUGACGGCCUUCGGGUUGUAAACCUCUUUCAGUAGGGAAGAAGCGCAAGUGACGGUACCUGCAGAAGAAGCACCGGCUAACUACGUG